rnacentral:rRNA from 1 species
UUCCAGCUCCUCGAGCAUGUACGUAAGUUGUUGCAGUUAAAAAGCUCGUAGUUGGAUCUCAGGCUCGUAGUCAGUGGUCCGCUCGGUAUGGGUGUGCACUGCUGUGCUCGGCCUACGUCUGGUUUACGUUCGUAGUGCCCUUAACUGGGUGCUGCGGAAUGCCAGAAGGUUUACUCUGAAAAAAUUAGAGUGCUCAAAGCAAGCUGUUAUGCUUGAAUACUGUUGCAUGGAAUAAUGGAAUAGGACCUCGGAUCUAUUUUGUUGGUUUUCGGAGUCGAGGUAAUGAUUAAGAGGGACAGACGGGGGCAUUCGUAUUGCGCCGUUAGAGGUGAAAUUCUUGGAUCGGCGCAAGACGAACAACUGCGAAAGCAUUUGCCAAGGAUGUUUUCAUUAAUCAAGAACGAAAGUCAGAGGUUCGAAGACGAUCAGAUACCGUCGUAGUUCUGACCAUAAACGAUGCCAACUGGCGAUCCGCCGUAGUCUGUUCUAUAAGGACUCGGCGGGCAGCCUCCGGGAAACCUAAGUCUAUGGGUUCCGGGGGAAGUAUGGUUGCAAAGCUGAAACUUAAAGGAAUUGACGGAAGGGCACCACCAGGAGUGGAGCCUGCGGCUUAAUUUGACUCAACACGGGAAAACUCACCCGGCCAGGACACCGUUAGGAUUGACAGACUGAUAGCUCUUUCUCGAUUCGGUGGGUGGUGGUGCAUGGCCGUUCUUAGUUGGUGGAGUGAUUUGUCUGGUUAAUUCCGAUAACGAACGAGACUCUAGCCUGCUAAAUAGACGGGCGAUCCCUUCGUGGGUCGACCCGAUUUGCUUCUUAGAGGGACAAGUGGCGUUCCUAGCCACGCGAAAUUGAGCAAUAACAGGUCUGUGAUGCCCUUAGAUGUCCGGGGCCGCACGCGCGCUACAAUGAGAGACGCAGUGUGCCCGCAAAGCCUGACCCGAAAGGGUUGGGUAAUCAUAUGAAUUUCUCUCGUAAUAGGGAUUGAGCAUUGUAAUUAUUGCUCAUGAACGAGGAAUUCCUAGUAAGCGCGAGUCAUAAGCUUGCGUUGACUACGUCCCUGCCCUU